ensembl:lncRNA
GUUAUUCUGUACCUUUGUAGGCUCACACAUAGAGAUUAGGUGGGUACUGGGGCCAACCCAUCUCCCUGUGAGUACUUUCUGUAAGUGGCUUCCUGACCUUGGGCAAGAUGCUUAGCCCUUCUGGGCUUCUGUAUCCUCAAGUGUAUAUCAGAACACUAGGAAUUCCUACGGCUUAUAGCUCUUGGGAGGAGUGACAGACAAAUGCCCGUGGAAGGGCUUAGGUGAGGUUGGAGAGGUGACUGGGGAGCGAAGAGUGCAGCAGUCUGCCUUCAGACGAUGGGCUCAUUCAUGCACCCCAUCUCAGGGGCUCACAACCUCCUGUAACUCCAGUUCCAGGACCUCAAGCCUCCACACAAGUGAACAACCCCAAACCCAGGAGACUGCGGAGAAAUGAUCUGCCCAUUCCUAUAAUUGGAAGAUGGAGUCAGGAAGCUUAGAAUUUCAAGGCCAGCCUCAGCUAAACGGGGAGUUCAAGAGCAUGUAGUUCUAUACAAACAACACCCUGUCUCAAAAAAAAAAAAAAAAUUAAAACCAAAACCAAACCAAAAGAAAACCCAAAGCAUUUGGGAGAAAGAGGCACAAUCAGGUGGAUCUCUAUGACCAGGGUGGUCUACAUGUUGAGUCUCAGGCCAGCCAGGACUACACGGUGAGAUCCUUUCUCAAAGAGCCAACAAGCAAGCAGAUGCGGACAUCUUCUGAAAGACUCAGAUACAAUCUCCCAGCAGUGAAUGCUGUGUUUGGGUCCCUGGUCUUGGAGGUGCACAGGUGGUUCCAUGCUCUUGGACUUAACAGUUUGAUGCUCCCUCCGGGCUGGGAAUGCCCCAUACAAUGCCUAACUGGAAAGAGCAAGUCUCAAACAUUCAGCAUUUAGAAACCACCUGGAGGCACUUUGGGCCAUGGAGCCAGCCACGCUAGCUCCAAAUGCUUGGAUUCAAAGGACAGAAACAAAGAGUAAACAGUAUCCAGCCCUUUUCAAACAACAGUCCAGCUGCUUCCUUCCUUCCUUCCUUUCCCUCUUCUUUUUCCUUUUCCUUUUCCUUUUUCUGAGACAGGCUCUGACUAUGUCACCCUAGCUGGGCUUGAACUCAGGGAGAUCUAUCUGCCUCUACCUCCUAUAUACUAGUAUUGAAAGUGUGUACCACCAC